GAUGAACGCUGGCGGCGUGCCUAAUACAUGCAAGUCGAGCGAACAGACGAGGAGCUUGCUCCUCUGACGUUAGCGGUGGACGGGUGAGUAACACGUGGAUAACCUACCUAUAAGACUGGGAUAACUUCGGGAAACCGGAGCUAAUACCGGAUAACAUGUUGAACCGCAUGGUUCAACAGUGAAAGACGGUCUUGCUGUCACUUAUAGAUGGAUCCGCGCUGCAUUAGCUAGUUGGUAAGGUAACGGCUUACCAAGGCAACGAUGCGUAGCCGACCUGAGAGGGUGAUCGGCCACACUGGAACUGAGACACGGUCCAGACUCCUACGGGAGGCAGCAGUAGGGAAUCUUCCGCAAUGGGCGAAAGCCUGACGGAGCAACGCCGCGUGAGUGAAGAAGGUCUUCGGAUCGUAAAACUCUGUUAUUAGGGAAGAACAAAUGUGUAAGUAACUAUGCACGUCUUGACGGUACCUAAUCAGAAAGCCACGGCUAACUACGUG
rnacentral:rRNA from 1 species